rnacentral:lncRNA from 1 species
AAAUAUCAAGUACACAUUUCGGCUCAUGCUGGUACAAGUCCAUCAGGACUGAAUCAUGAAAGGUAAAAUAUCUACGCAGCGAAAACAUGUAGCAUGGUGAACAACAUCUCCAGACGCGACUUGAGCGAGGGACCAUCCCUAGUAUUCCCAUCCGUCGUUGUCAAAGUCGUAGUUGGGCUCCGACCCUGAAAAGCCACCAUCUACCUGAGAAGCGGAUAGGCCACGUCAACUCCCAAAGCAGCAAGACAAGGAAAUGGGGGAAUAAUACUAUAUGCAUCGAUCAACCUAUAUGUGGCUAUAGAGGUAUAUGCAGCAGCAAUAGCAAUCAAGGAUGCAUCAAAGCAAUACCAUCUCCGAGGUCAACACCUCACAUCAAGGAAGUCAUCACAAAUCACCAGAUCCUUCACCCAAAAAUCCAGCACCCAAACACACUUGGUGAUGUGAGAGCUCCAUCCUUUCACAUCUCAAUGGCAAAUGGCAACCUAUCUAAAAAAGGGAAGGUAGAAGUAUAUAUAUAUAAGUCUAGUCAGAAGUAGCAGUAGUCAACAGCACUGUCCAUAACCAGUGGACACGAACUAUAGCUAUAGGUUUAUACACUUUGCAGAUGUUGUACAACUGUACCCGCACGGAUGGAGCCUGAACGGGAGCAAUCCGUCCAAACCCCACCUAACGGCCGGAGCCCUAGUAAGUGGAUAGUACUCUCCUGUUUCCUUGAGUCUGGAAUCAUCCUCAACUGCAGGGCAUGCUGUCACCAAUUGAGGACCUCGAAACUGUGAAACCUACCCACGCUGGGGUGCAAUCUGGUCAGAGCAGGUCAACACCUCGAACUCCCUACACUGAUCCUCCAAUCCGCAUACAGGCUAAGCACUAUUCACCACUAGUCUCGGACCGAAUCCCACCCAUAACAAGGUGAACGGUAUGUACGAAAAUAGAUACUAUGACUGGUGGUAAACUGAUUCGGUCCUUAGGGGCUAAGAGCGAGCACUCAACUCCACAAGUAUGUGCCAAAACACCUGCAACGUACAAGUACGCCACCUGCUCCUCAGUGUCAAACAAGGUACCCGCCACAGGUACAGGGGGUGGAGAGAGUCCAGAAUGCUCUCCCCUAGCAAGGCACUCCUCAGUAUCAAUCGCAACUUGCUCCCAUCAAAACACGUCAAGGAAUCACACCCACCCAAAACACACGCGAGAGUGUACAAGGAAUCUCAUUACCAAAACCAUAACAUAUGCCCAUCCAUAACUCAAAAGCAUAUAUAUGGAUAUAAGUAAGGUGGACUAGCUAGGGGUCUGUAGCUAGUCCACAAGUAGGUAACAAGAAAAAUAGAAUAAACAAUUAUCAAGGUAUGGCUAGAAACAUAUGCUAUGCAAUCAAUCAUCAUCCAAGCAUCAUAAAUAAAGCGGUAGCAACUAAGCAUGCAUAUGAUCUAUAUGAUUAGGAGUGACAUGACACCUUGUCCAUAGAUGUUGGGAUCCUCCUCGG